CAGCCGCCGCGGUAAUACAGAGGGUGCAAGCGUUAAUCGGAAUUACUGGGCGUAAAGUGCGCGUAGGUGGUUUGUUAAGUUGGAUGUGAAAUCCCCGGGCUCAACCUGGGAACUGCAUCCAAAACUGGCAAGCUAGAGUAUGGUAGAGGGUGGUGGAAUUUCCUGUGUAGCGGUGAAAUGCGUAGAUAUAGGAAGGAACACCAGUGGCGAAGGCGACCACCUGGACUGAUACUGACACUGAGGUGCGAAAGCGUGGGGAGCAAACAGGAUUAGAGACCCCAGUAGUCCCUGUCUCUUAUAC
rnacentral:rRNA from 1 species